rnacentral:tRNA from 1 species
GCCUCGGUGGCCUAGCAGGUUAGGGCAUCGCCUUGGUAAGGCGGAGGCCGCGGGUUCGAAUCCCGCCCGAGGCUCCA